AGGAGAUAGUAUAUUGGUAGUACUAAAAGUUUUGGGCUUUUAAGUUUUAGUUCGAGUCUUGAUCUUCUAA
rnacentral:tRNA from 1 species